rnacentral:rRNA from 1 species
GAUCCUGGCUCAGGACGAACGCUGGCGGCGUGCCUAACACAUGCAAGUCGAACGGAGAAUUUUAUUUCGGUAGAAUUCUUAGUGGCGAACGGGUGGGUAACGCGUAGGCAACCUGCCCUUUAGACGGGGACAACAUUCCGAAAGGAGUGCUAAUACCGGACGUGAUCAUCGUGCCGCAUGGCAGGAUGAAGAAAGAUGGCCUCUACAAGUAAGCUAUCGCUAAAGGAUGGGCCUGCGUCUGAUUAG